CCUACGGGUGGCAGCAGUGGGGAAUAUUGGACAAUGGGGGCAACCCUGAUCCAGCGACGCCGCGUGGGUGAAGAAGGCCUGCGGGUUGUAAAGCCCUUUCGUUGGGAAAGAAAAGUGUCGACCUAACACGUCGGCACCGUGACGUAUACCAAAGAAGAAGCACCGGCUAACUCUGUGCCAGCAGCCGCGGUAAUACAGAGGGUGCGAGCGUUAAUCGGAAUUACUGGGCGUAAAGCGCACGUAGAUGGCUUCGUAAGUCGGAUGUGAAAUCCCCGGGCUUAACCUGGGAACUGCAUUCGAUACUGCGUUGCUUGAAUGUGGAAGAGGGAAGCGGAAUUCCAGGUGUAGCGGUGAAAUGCGUAGAUAUCUGGAGGAACAUCAGUGGCGAAGGCGGCUUCCUGGUCCAACAUUGACAUUCAGGUGCGAAAGCGUGGGGAGCAAACAGGAUUAGAUACCCUAGUAGUC
rnacentral:rRNA from 1 species